rnacentral:lncRNA from 1 species
GUGGAUUGUCAGACAUGAAGGCCUGACUGUGGAAGGCUUAGAAAGUUAGGCUGCAGAGUCCAGCCGUUUUCUUGUCACAGUGGAGAGCCCUGGAAAGUUUCAGAGCAGAGGCUCAGUGCUGUACCUUGGAUGUACUUCUCGGACUUUGAGUCAUCUCUUCUCUCCACUUGGACCACUCUUCCUCAAGACGGCUAUAUACCGUGGUGAAAAAACAAGCCUGUUCCUUCAAGUUGGCUCAAAAGUCACCUUUCCAGGGAGUCUACAUUUGACAGUCAUAUAAUCAUAUCCUUUGCCCCCCAUCACUUAUAGUGGUUGGUAUUGCUUAACAUAGUUUUGAAAACUAUAGGAAUUGCCUUCUUCUAGUCCAUGCUCCUUCCUGCAUCCCUGAAUGUCGGGUCUGAAGAUAAAGGGUUUUUUGUUUUGUUUUGUUUUGUUUUGUUUUGUUUUGUUUUGUUUUUCUGUUUUAUCCACUGCUUAAAAAACUGAGCCUAACACAAGAGGUGUUCUGUGUUGAUUAGACGAGAGACAGAAUGGACUGUAGCAAAGGACCUGGGAUCCUUUAACCACAUAGACACUGUUGGGAAGUUGCCUCGAAGAUGACCUUCUCUUUCUUCUGGCUUCCCCCAAAUCCCCAUGGACUUAUGUUUUAGCCUUCAGUGCAUGAGAUGUGGUUCCUGGCUUAAGUCGAGGGAAGCAGUUAAGAGCAUGGGUUUGGAGUAAGAGUCAGACGCACAUCUCUGCCUGUUUUUCUUCCCAGCUGUGUGGCUUGGGGGAAAUUGUCUCUGAUGUGAGGCUGUAACACGUGUCGGAACUCAUAAAGCACGUGGAGGUGGCUCACACUAUCAUUAAUAGAGGUGAGUGGUUGAAAGCAAGGGAGCUGAGAAAUGCAGCUUUCCCCUAAUGGCUAUUUGAACUGUGUUCAGUGAAAACAGGGUGCUGCAGAGAUGACUCAGAGGUUGAGAGCACAGGCUGCUCUUCCAGAGGUCCUGAGUUCAAUUCCUAGCAACCACAUGGUGGCUCACAGCCAUCUAUAGUGAGAUCUGGUGCCCUCUUCUGUCCUGCAGGCAGAACACUGUAUACAUAAUAAAUAAAUCUUUUUUUUUUUUUUUAAGAAGAAAAUAUUGAGGAAGGAAACCUCCCGGAUUUUCUUGCUAAUAAAAAAAAUCAAGAGGUUUUAGUAAAGAGCUUUUCUUCACUAAGAAGAGUUAUUAAGUAAGCCUAAAUAAUGGAGUUGGACAAUGGUUUUGUACCUUAGAUCUUCCUCCAAGGAGAGGCCACAGAACCCUAGGAGGUACCUUGUGUCUGGGAUGAGCCUGUUGGAAUUUUUGUGGUUUUAAAUGUGCAGAUGUUUCUGCAUUUGCAGCCUCAACAUCUGGAGCUAGGUUCCCCAGUAGUACAGAUGGAGAAUAGCAACAUGCAAAUUCUGUGUGUUUAGCAGGGGGGAAGCCAAGGUAGAAGUCUGAGAAGGCAUAUGGAAAGGGAGCCAGAACUCGAAUUCAGGCAGGUGUCUGCCCCAGCUUUCUACCUAGAGCCCGAGGCCACAGGGAGGAACCGGGAGCUAGGGGAGAGACUGAGGUUUGCCUAAGGUCUGUUACUGCUCUAGUUUCAAACAUUCUAAAACAAAUCUAUCUCAUGAUUAGUUCACUACUCUAGAAAACCGUGGAGAAUGGAUGGCUCCAUGGCCUAAUGGUUAGAGCCCCCAUCUUGUGAAACAAGUUAAUCUUCACUGUUGACUGGAUCACCUGGGAGACAUGCUUCUGGACACAGAGUGAACAAGGACUCUUCUAGAGUUGAUACACGAGGAUCACCUUGAAGGUGAGAUGCAGCAUUCCAUGGGCUUGGGAGUGAAUCUGGAUAAAAGAGGAAGACAUGAAAGCCAGAUGAGUGCACUGGUCUCUCUCUGUCUCCUCAUCUGUGGAGAUCCAAGAAUGCCCAGCCACACAUUCCUGCCACCAAAUACCCGAGCAUGCCUUCUCCACCAUGAUAAACUGUUUUCUCAAACUGCGAGCGGAAAUAAAUCCCUCUUCAUUCAAGGUGCCGUUUCUCGGUAUUUGUUAACUUUAAACAAACAAACUGAUAAGCAAACCACAAAACCCAAUCAUUUCAUCGUCAACAACCACAACCCGAAAAACAGCUAAUACAAAAACUUUUGGAGGAACUAAACAAAACUCAGUGGUGUCUUUUGUUCUAAAGAUCUGUCCUCCUGUUUCAACAAACACAUCAUCCAUCUAGUGCCAUCCAUCCAUUUAAAAGUCAUCUUUAUUUUAAAAUCCACUGGUCCAUUUUAAGUCCACAUCUAUUUAAAAGUCCUAAGAUUUCUUGAGUUCCCCCCCCUUCAGCUUUUGCAAACUAUUGCCUAAAACAAAUGCUCACUCUGGUAUCU